rnacentral:rRNA from 1 species
AGGACGAACGCUGGCGGCGUGCCUAACACAUGCAAGUCGAGCGAGGAGAUCCUUCGGGAUGAUCCUAGCGGCGGACGGGUGAGUAACACGUGGGCAACCUGCCUCAUAGAGAGGAAUAGCCUUCCGAAAGGGAGAUUAAUACCUCAUAACAUUGCAGUUUCGCAUGGACAGCAAUUAAAGGAGCAAUCCACUAUGAGAUGGGCCCGCGGCGCAUUAGCUAGUUGGUGAGGUAACGGCUCACCAAGGCGACGAUGCGUAGCCGACCUGAGAGGGUGAUCGGCCACAUUGGGACUGAGACACGGCCCAGACUCCUACGGGAGGCAGCAGUGGGGAAUAUUGCACAAUGGGGGAAACCCUGAUGCAGCAACGCCGCGUGAGUGAUGACGGCCUUCGGGUUGUAAAGCUCUGUCUUCAGGGACGAUAAUGACGGUACCUGAGGAGGAAGCCACGGCUAACUACGUGCCAGCCGCCGC